rnacentral:rRNA from 1 species
GAUGAACGCUAGCUGGAGGCUUAAUACAUGCAAGUCGAGCGGGAUUGGGUAGCAAUACCCAUGAGAGCGGCGCACGGGUGAGUAACGCGUACACGACCUACCUCUAACAGGGGGAUAGCCCUGGGAAACUGGGAUUAAUACCGCAUAUAAUUCUGAAUAAUAAAGGGUUGGAAUGAAAGCUGAGGCGGUUAGCGAUGGGUGUGCGUCUGAGUAGCUAGUGGGUAGGGUAACGGCCCACCAAGGCCAUAAUCAGUAGGGGGCGUGAGAGCGUGGUCCCCCACACGGGUACUGAGACACGGACCCGACUCCUACGGGAGGCAGCAGUAAGGAAUAUUGGUCAAUGGGCGAAAGCCUGAACCAGCCAUCCAGCGUGCAGGAAGAAGGCCCUAUGGGUUGUAAACUGCUUUUAUCAGGGAAGAAACCUCUGGAUUUACUCCGGAGCUGACGGUACCUGAAGAAUAAGCACCGGCUAACUCCGUGCCAGCCGCCGCAGUAA